CGUCCACCUCCAAAACACGCAGCCGCCUUUUCCACGCGCCCACCGGCUCUGAAUUCCGCCUCCCCUCUCCCUCUCCCAAACCCGCACGGCGAAAGCAACAGCCGGAGCACGGGAAGAGGAGGAGAACUCUCCCUCUCGCGUCGUCGUCGUCGUCUCCGCCGAUCCUCGCCCUGUCCCUCCCCGUGCUCUGCUCCCUCGGGGUCGCCGUCCCAGGCCGGAAGCUUCGCGCGCAAGGCGCUGAGGAGGAGGAGCGGGAGUGCGCGCCGCGGCGGUAGCCGCUCUGCGCCUGCACCGGGGCCCGUCUCGCACCGGCAUGGUCUUGGCCCCCGCGGGAAGGCACGGCGGGAAUGGCCGAUAGGGCGAAGGUCGUGGCCGUCGUGGUCGCCGCCGGCGUGGGCGCGGCGGUGCUCGCGGCGGCGUGCGUGUUCCUGGCCAUCUGGAUGUACCGGCGGCGGGCCAGCGUGGUGGCGCGGACGCGGACGCGGUCGCUCGAGUCCUCCACGGCCACGCUGCGGGCCAACGGCUCCACCGCCAGCCUCGACUCCAGCGUCUCCGUCUCCGUCGUCUCCGAGAGCGUCGCCGACUGGGGCCACAGCCCGCUGCCGCCGGGGAAGCGCGUCGCCUUCUGGGGCUGGCGGGGCGCCACCAACGCCAGGGACCAGCCCCUCUCCGUCUCCGGGAUCCCCAAGUACCACUACAAGGAUCUGCAGAAGGCUACCAACAACUUCACCACGAUUCUGGGGCAAGGGUCGUUUGGUCCUGUGUACAAGGCUGUAAUGGCUACCGGUGAAGUCGUGGCUGUAAAGGUUCUCGCGAGCGAUUCUACGCAAGGGGAAAGAGAGUUCCAGACAGAGGUAAUUUUGCUUAGUCGGCUGCAUCAUAGAAAUCUUGUUAAUUUGGUUGGAUAUUGCGUGGAAAAAGGCCAACACAUUCUGAUGUAUGAGUACAUGAGCAACGGGAAUCUGGCAACUCUUCUGUAUGGUGAUAAUAAACGGAGUUUGAGCUGGCAAGAGAGGCUACAAAUAGCUCACGACGUCUCUCAUGGGAUUGAGUACCUGCAUGAAGGGGCUGUCCCGCCUGUUAUUCACCGAGACCUAAAGUCUGCUAAUAUACUCUUGGACGAAUCAAUGAGGGCCAAGGUUGCAGACUUUGGUCUAUCAAAGGAGGAAGUAUUUGAUGGAAGUAAGUCAGGUCUCAAGGGCACCUAUGGAUAUAUGGACCCUGAUUACAUGUCCACCAACAAGUUCACAAAGAAGAGCGAUGUUUACAGUUUUGGCAUAAUACUUUUUGAACUCAUAACAGCCAUAAAUCCACAACAAGGCUUAAUGGAGUACAUUGACCUAGCAGCGAUUGGAGGGGAAGGAAAGGUGGACUGGGAUGAGAUACUCGACAAGAACCUCCUUGGCGGGAGCAUUCCGGAAGAGGCAAGGGUCCUUGCCGAUGUCGCCUACCGGUGCAUCAACAGGAGCCCAAGGAAGCGGCCAUGGAUAUCAGAGGUCACCCAGGCCAUUUCAAGGCUAAGGCAGCGGCAGAUGACUUUGCCGAGGAGCGAGACCAGGACCGUGCUAAGGAGGAUAGAGUACCAGCACGUGGAGCUCAGCGAUCUCGCCGGCAUGAAAGAACUCACGCCGGUGUCUAACUUGGGUUGGAAUAGAUGUAAAUAAUCCCGAAGGUAGAGUUUGGCAGGAUGACCGUCUCUCAAUUGAUAGACUGGCAAAUUGGUAAUAUGAACACUCUAGUAACAAAUGCUAGAAAGUGUAAAUCGAUGAAGGGGUUAUUAAACUGCAUGC
rnacentral:rRNA from 1 species